CAAAAAACAAAACAAAAACAAAAACAAAAACAAAAAUCCCUGUAAUGCUGUCAGUGUUCAAGUGAAAGAAAGAGUCAUAUAUCUUUCACUUUCAAUCAAAAGCUGGAAAUGAUUAAGCUUAGUGAGGAAGGCAUGCCAAAAGCCAAGACUGGCUGAAAAUUAGGCCUCUUGUUCCAGUCAGCCAAGUUGUAAAUGCAAACAGAAAGUUCUUGAAGAAAAUGGUUACUCCAGUGAACAUACGAAUGAUAAGAAGGCAAAACAGCCUUAUUGUUGAUAUGGAGAACGUUUUAGUGGUCUGGAUAGAAGAUCAAACCAAUCACAUUUCCUUAAGCCAAAGUCUAGUCCAGAGCAAGAUCCUACCUUUCUUUAAAUCUAUGAAGGCUGAGAGAGGUAGUUCCCUAAGAGAGAGGUCCCUGCUCUAUCUCACCAUCCCUUGUAUCUUGUCAUUUAUUUUGCUGAUAUAGAAGCAUAUGAAAAUAAGCAUACAUAAGCAUCUACAGAGAAUUAUAAGUAUUAUUAUUUCAAACAAACUUUCAUGUUAGAUUAAGUGGAAGAAAAACGUUUUUACUUUGCCUUCACUUAUUUCUUCUCCAAUGCUCUUCUUCCUUUAUGUAGAUCUGAAUUUCUGACCUUUAUUGUUUUCCUUUCCUCUUAAGAAUUUCUUUUCACUUUUCUUGCAAGAUAGGUCUUACUGGCAACACAUUCCCUCAAUUUUUGUUUGUCUGAGAAAGUCUUCAUAUUUCUUCUUCACUUUUGAGAGAUAAUUUUUUGGGGUAUAGAAUUCUAUGGUGUCCAUUUUUUCUCUCAACACUUUAAAUAUUUCACCCUGCUCUCUUCUUGCUUAUGUGGUUUCUGAGCAAAAGUCAGAUAUAGUUCUUAUCUUUGUUGCUAUCUUUUUCCUCUGGCUUCUUUCAGGAUUAAAAAAAAACUUAGAUUUCUGUAGUUUGAAAAUGAUAUGCCAUAUUAAUCAGGGUUUUCCAAAGUGACAGAUUAAAAUAAGAUUUUAUUUAUAUUUAUUAUAGAUAUUUAUUAUGGAAAUUGACUUGCGAUUCUGAAAGCCCACGAGUCUCAAAAUCUGUUGUCUGCAAGCUGGAGAACCAGGAAAGCUGCUGGGAUAGUUCAGUGUAAGCCCAAAGGCCUAAGAACCAGGUCAGCCCAUAGUGUACCUCCUGGUCAGGUCUGAGGGCCUUGGGUUGGGGAAAGGAUUGCUGGUGUAAGUCCUAUGGUUUUAAGACCCCAGGACCAGGAGCCUUGAUGUCUCAGGGCAAGAGAAGAGGGAUAUCUCAGAUCAAGAAGAAAGAGUAAUUCCCUCGACCUCUGCUUUUUUAUUCCAUUUAGGUCCUCAGAGGAUUAGAUGAUACCUACCCACUUUAGUGAGGUGAUCUUUGUUACCCAGUUUCCUGAUUGAGAUGCUAACUUCUUUCAGAAAUACACUCAUAGACACUCCAGAAACAGUAUUUUAUCAGCUAUCAGAACAUCCCUCAGCCCAGUCAAGUUUACAUAUAAAUUAACCAUCAUAUAUACCUAGAUGUAGGAUUUUUUUUUUUUUUUGUAUUUAUCCCACUUGGUAUUGUGUGUCUGAUAAUAGUUUGGGGGAAAUUCUCAGUCAUUAUUGUUUCAAAUAAUUCUCCUGUUUCCUUCCCUCUUCUCCUUCUGAAAUUCCUAUUCCAUGUAUGUUGUAGCUUUUGUAGUUCCACAGUUCUUGGAUCUGUUCUCUUUUUUUCAGUCUUUUUUUUUUUUUCUUUUCAGUUUGGUAUUUUUCUAUUAGGAUAUCUUCAAGCUAAGAGAUUCUUAUCUCAGAUAUGUCCAGUCUACCCAUAAGCCCAUACUUCACUUCUUUUAAAGUGUUUUUGAUCUCUAGCAUUUCUUUUUGGUUCUGAGAAUUUCCAUCUCUGUGCAUUUGUUUUUAUGUGCCAUCUACUUUAUCCAUUAAAGCAUUUAGUAUCUUAAUCAUAAUGUUUUAAAUUCCUGGUCUAAUAAUUUCAACAUCUCCAUCAUAUCUAAGUCUGGUUCUGAGGCUUGCCCUGUUUCUUCAAAUUGUGUUUUCUGACUUUCAGUAUGCCUUGUAAUUUGUUCUUAAUAACUGGACAUGAUGCAGUGGGUAAAAGGAACUGCUGUAAAUAGGCCUUUAAUAAUGUGGUGGUAAGGAGUGGUAGGAGGAGAACUGUUCUCUGUAGCCCCGUGAAUAGACCUCAGUCUUUUAGUGAGCUUAUGCCCCUGAAGUGUGAACCCCACAACCGCUUCAAGGUUCUUCCCCCACUUAGGUGAAACAGGAUGGCUAUUGUGGGCAGGAAUUGCGUAUUUCCCCUCCUCCAGGUCAUGUAGACUCUGAUAAAACCCCAGCAAGUUAGGCUGCAAUUAAAUAUUUGCUCCUGAUUGACAUAACUAAAAAAACAGUAAUUUUUUCUAGUGAUUCUAAGGCUGCUAUUAUUUUUGUCUAUGACCAGAUAUAUGAUAUAGAAAACUCAUUUUCUAUUAAUAAUUAACUGCCUCUUAGGCAUUUCCCAUCUGCAACCUGUCCGUGGUGUUAACUUUAUUUACUGCCAUGUAACGUGUCACUGCUCAUCACCUUCCGCCUUGUUGAGUCCUGUGAUUUGCAGGUUUUGAAUAUAUGCAUCAAGCAAAGUGGCUGAUCUGGGCUACAAGAAUGUGGGACUGAGGUAAGGAAGUGGAAGAUUAAACGAUUUGCCCAAAGUCUCACAGUAAUUUGUAGAGCUGAGAUUGAAAUUCAGGUGAAACUUCACAUAUCAUUUUCUUUUUAUCAGAUGGCAGUUUCUGGAUUUACUCUUGGUACCUGCAUACUUCUGUUGCACAUUAGUUAUGUGGCUAAUUAUCCCAAUGGAAAAGUAACACAGUCAUGCCAUGGAAUGAUUCCUGAACAUGGUCAUAGUCCACAGUCUGUUCCUGUUCAUGACAUUUCCGUGAGUCAGAUGACAUUCAGACCAGGAGAUCAGAUUGAAGUUACUUUGUCAGGGCAUCCAUUUAAAGGCUUUCUCCUAGAAGCGCGUAAUGCUGAGGAUCUGAAUGGCCCUCCUGUUGGCUCCUUCACGUUGAUUGACAGUGAAGUGUCACAGCUUUUGACUUGUGAAGAUAUACAGGGAUCAGCUGUGAGUCACAGAAGUGCAUCUAAAAAAACAGAAGUUAAAGUCUACUGGAAUGCUCCAAGCAGUGCUCCAAAUCACACACAGUUUCUAGUCACAGUUGUUGAGAAGUACAAAAUCUACUGGGUGAAGAUUCCUGGUCCUAUAAUUUCACAACCAAAUGCAUUUCCUUUCACAACACCUAAAGCUACAAUAGUACCUUUGCCAACAUUACCUCCAGCUUCCCACUUAACCAAACCAUUCAGUGCCUCAGAUUGUGGGAACAAGAAGUUCUGUAUUAGGAGUCCUUUGAACUGUGACCCAGAGAAGGAGGCUUCCUGUGUCUUCUUAUCCUUCACAAGAGAUGACCAAUCGGUGAUGGUUGAAAUGAGUGGCCCCAGUAAAGGCUAUUUAUCCUUUGCAUUGUCUCAUGACCAAUGGAUGGGUGAUGAUGAUGCUUAUCUGUGUAUUCAUGAAGAUCAGACUGUGUACAUCCAGCCUUCCCAUUUAACGGGGCGAAGUCACCCUGUAAUGGACUCCAGGGAUACCCUUGAGGAUAUGGCUUGGAGGUUGGCGGAUGGUGUUAUGCAGUGUUCUUUCAGAAGAAACAUUACCCUUCCUGGAGUUAAGAAUAGAUUUGAUCUAAACACAAGCUAUUACAUAUUUCUAGCAGAUGGUGCAGCUAAUGAUGGUCGAAUUUAUAGGCACUCUCAGCAGCCUUUGAUUACCUAUGAAAAAUAUGAUGUGACAGACUCUCCGAAGAACGUAGGAGGAUCCCAUUCUGUACUCCUUCUGAAGGUUCAUGGUGCCUUAAUGUUUGUGGCAUGGAUGACUACUGUUAGCAUAGGUGUACUGGUUGCCCGGUUCUUCAAACCAGUUUGGUCAAAAGCUUUCUUCCUUGGUGAAGCAGCUUGGUUUCAGGUGCAUCGGGUGCUUAUGUUCACCACAACUGCCCUCACCUGCAUUGCUUUUGUUAUGCCAUUUAUAUACAGGGGAGGCUGGAGUAGGCGUGCAGGUUACCACCCAUACCUCGGCUGUAUAGUGAUGACUUUGGCAGUUCUUCAGCCUCUUCUGGCAGUCUUCAGGCCACCUUUACAUGACCCAAGAAGGCAAAUGUUUAACUGGACUCAUUGGAGUAUGGGAACAGCUGCUAGAAUAAUAGCAGACUUAAAACAAUCUGGAAAAUGUGGGUGCAUCUCUCUUAACAAUUGGUCCAUUAUGCAGCCAUAAAAAAGAAUGAAAUCAUGUCUUUUGUAGCAACAUGGAUGCUGCUGGAAGUGAUUAUCCUACAUGAGUAAAUGCAGAAACCGAAAAUCACAUACCACACGUUCUCACUUAUAAAUUGGCAGCGAUGUUCCUGGGAAUGGAUUUACCAGGACUGAAUCUUCCUGAUUCACGGAAAACCUAUGCAAUGAUUGGAUUUGUAGCCUGGCAUGUAGGGACUGAGAUUG